rnacentral:rRNA from 1 species
UACGAGGGGAGCAAGCGUUGUUCGGAUUUAUUGGGCGUAAAGGGCUCGUAGGCGGUUUGUCGCGUCGGGAGUGAAAUCCACUGGCUUAACUGGUGGCUUGCUUUCGAUACGGGCAGACUGGAGGUAUGCAGGGGAGAACGGAAUUCCUGGUGUAGCGGUGAAAUGCGCAGAUAUCAGGAGGAACACCGGUGGCGAAGGCGGUUCUCUGGGCAUUACCUGACGCUGAGGAGCGAAAGUGUGGGGAGCGAACAGG